rnacentral:rRNA from 1 species
GGAGUGACUGUUUCAAUGAAACUAAAAAGAAAUUUCUUAAGAGGUGUAAAUUCCUUUAAUCUAUACAAUAGACGAGAAGACCCUAAGAAUUAUAUAUUAAUAUUAUAAAUUUAUAAAAUUUUUGUUGGGGCAACAGAUUUGGUUAAAUCAAUAACUUUUAAAUUUGCAUAUUGAGUAUAUUUAAUAAGAAUUUAAUUACCUUAGGGAUAACAGCAUUAUUAAUAUAUUAGAUUGUGACCUCGAUGUUGGACUAGGGACUUUUAAAGUAAGCCAUUUUAAGAGAUUGUUCUGUUCGAACAUAGAAC